rnacentral:rRNA from 1 species
AGUGAACGCUGGCGGUAGGCCUAACACAUGCCAGUCGAACGGCAGCACAGUAAGAGCUUGCUCUUACGGGUGGCGAGUGGCGGACGGGUGAGGAAUACAUCGGAAUCUACUUUUUCGUGGGGGGUAACGUAGGGAAACUUACGCUAAUACCGCAUACGACCUACGGGUGAAAGCAGGGGAUCUUCGGACCUUGCGCGAUUGAAUGAGCCGAUGUCGGAUUAGCUAGUUGGCGGGGUAAAGGCCCACCAAGGCGACGAUCCGUAGCUGGUCUGAGAGGAUGAACACACACUGUGAAAGUGACACGCUCCCGAGACUCCGGGGGGGGACAGGAGGGGAAAAUUUGGGACAGGGGGCGCAACCGUGCCACAGACACACCGCGUGGGAGAAGAAGGCCUUCGUUUUGUAAAGCUCUUUUGUGGGGAAAAAAAAACAGCAGGUUAAUACCCCGCUUUUGACGGGGCACCAAAAGAAAACGCCCCGGAAAUCUGCG